UGUAUUGUUGGAGAGACUGAGCAGUACAUGCCAUAUGAGGCACAAGGAAGGAGGCCCUGAGUGUAUCCCAUUGAUGUUGCAUUGAGACUUUGCAAUAACAGUUCUACCUAACAGCAUCAAGUGUGAACUCUGAGGGCGUGAAGUGGAAAGUAAGAACACAUGUCCAAGCAUGUCGUAGGUGACAUUCCACUUGGCUACGACAUCUGCAAUCAACAGUCGGUUAACUCCAUUUGUAUCCUGUGCAUCUUAGAGACAGUGGAAGUAAACCUUACAUUUACAACUGUUUCAGGGAAGAUCUGAAAGUGGCCUAAAUCGUUGGUAUUUGUCGAGACAAAUUUCAGUUCCAAUGUAUAUUCUGGAUAUGGAGCAAACACAAAUUCCAAGUAACAGGAAGAUUCACCAAUUUCAUAAUUGACUAUUAGUUGAAAUAUGUUGACCAGCCUCUGGCUGAAUAUGGCUGGGCAGAUGGUUGUUCUAAUAAAGCAUCCUUAAUUCAGUCACUAAAA